rnacentral:rRNA from 1 species
CCCUUAGAUGUUCUGGGCCGCACGCGUGCUACACUGAGUAAAUCAAUGGGUAAGGGAACACGAAAGUGCAACCUAAUCUUGAAAUUUGCUCGUGAUGGGGAUCGACGGUUGCAAUUUUCCGUCGUGAACGAGGAAUACCUUGUAGGCGCGUGUCAUCAUCACGCGCCGAAUACGUCCCUGCCCUUUGUACACACCGCCCGUCGCUCCUACCGAUUGAGUGAUCCGGUGAGGCUCUGGGACCUGGACGGAAAGAGCGUUUCGCUUGUUCUGUUUGGGAAACUUGGUCAAACCUUAUCAUUUAGAGGAAGGAGAAGUCGUAACA